UACGGAGGUGACCAGCGUUGUCCGGAUUUACUGGGCGUAAAGAGCGCGUAGGCGGUCGUUCAAGUCGGGUGUGAAAGCCCCCGGCUCAACUGGGGAGGGUCACUCGAUACUGAUCGACUUGAAGGCAGGAGAGGGAAGCGGAAUUCCCGGUGUAGUGGUGAAAUGCGUAGAUAUCGGGAGGAACACCAGUGGCGAAGGCGGCUUCCUGGCCUGUUCUUGACGCUGAGGCGCGAAAGCUAGGGGAGCAAACGGG
rnacentral:rRNA from 1 species